AGGCCUUGGGGUUGAAACAACCUUAACCUAUUCUCAAACUUUAAAUAUGUAAGAAGCCCUUGUUGCUUAAUUGAACGUGGGCAUUAGAAUGAUGCGUUACUAGUGGGCCAUUUUUGGUAAGCAGAACUGGCGAUGCGGGAUGAACCGGAAGCCGGGUUACGGUGCCCAACUGCGCGCUAACCUAGAACCCACAAAGGGUGUUGGUCGAUUAAGACAGCAGGACGGUGGUCAUGGAAGUCGAAAUCCGCUAAGGAGUGUGUAACAACUCACCUGCCGAAGGUACUAGCCCUGAAAAUGGAUGGCGCUCAAGCGGACCACCGAGGCGUUGCCGCCGGCGCGAGCGCGAGGCGUCCGGCGAGUAGGAGGGCGCGCAGUGGGCGACGCAGCUUGAGGCGUGAGCCUGAGUGAAGCCGACUGUGGUGCAGAUCUUGGUGGCAGUAGCAAAUAUUCAAGUGAGAACCUUGAAGACUGAAGUGGAGAAAGGUUCCAUGUGAACAGCAGUUGGACAUGGGUGAGCCGACCCUAAGGGACAGGAGAGCUCCGCUGAACGCGGCCGCUUCCGUCGGCCCGACCGUCGAAAGGGAAUCGGGUUAAUAUUCCCGAGCCGGAGCGUGGAUGGAGGGCGGCGACGCGAACGAACCCGGAGACGCUGGCGGGAGCCCCGGGAAGAGUUCUCUUUUCUUCUUAACUGCCUACUCGCCCUGGAAUCGGUUCGGCCGGAGAGAGGGCCGCACGGCAGGCAAAGCACCUUAAGUCUUGAGGUGUCCGGCGCGCUCCCGACAGUCCGUGAAAAUCCGGGGGAGCGGUUCGUUCUCACGACCGGUCGUACUCAUAACCGCAUCAGGUCUCCAAGGU
rnacentral:rRNA from 1 species